rnacentral:lncRNA from 1 species
GGGUGUCUAUCCGAAGCAAUCGGGCUUCCUUCUAUGUCCGAGUAAAAUAGUUGAUCAUAUUUCAUAUAUAUGGUUCUUAUGCAUUAUAGGAUAUAUGUAUAGUUACAUUUCUAUUUUCUUGCAUGCAUGUCUAGUUGUGUAGUAUUAUAGACUUGACACUUAAAUCUAGAAUGCAUGAUGAUUAAGGUUGAGACAUGAGAUCCUACGAUGAUAAGAGAAUAAAGAACUUGGACUUGAUAAUGAAACUAGUGACAUGUGAACUAGUGUAAUGGAGAUUGUAUGCAUGUAGCAUUAUGAAUGGAUUGCAUGCUAGUUGAUAAUGGCAUAUUAGCAUUAUGAUGCAUGUUGGCUUUAUAGAACAUAUAUGCUAGAUGAAAUGAAUGUUAACCUAUUGUUAAUUAUGGAGAUUAUGUGGCAUCUAAACCUAGUGUUGUGAACCUAGGAUAGAUCGAGUGGCAUUAAUAUAAUGUUGUUAAACAUAGGUUGACAUUAAACCUAGUGUUGUGGAACCUAGAGUUGCUUAGACCUAGGUGAGUGGCAUUGAGAUUUGAUAUGGUUGAGACACUUGACAUGGACCUAGGGAUAGGUGGACUUUCGAGUGCUUGUUAACCCUAGUUGACAGGGUAUCCUCAGUUGGCGAGGAUUGGAUCAUACUCACAUAGUCUGUUUUGGGCUUGUGGCGGUCGCUCCCCACAAGCAGUGCACUCCGGAGUUGUCACACGAGCUGGGUAGCUCACGAGCCGGGUAGCUCAUCGGGUGGGAUACGAGAGGGGUAGCUCCCCACCCAUUGGACUGGGAAGUGAGUCGGGCGAAGGGCGGGGUAGCUCUUCACCUGUGAGAUUUGAGCGGGGUAGCUCUUUACCUAUGAGCGGGGUAGCUCUUUACCUAUGAGCGAGGUAGCUCUUUACCUAUGAGCGGGGUAGCUCUUUACCUAUGAGCGGGGUAGCUCUCUACCUACGAGCGGGGUAGCUCUUUACCUACGAGCGGGGUAGCUCUUUACCUACGAGCGGGGUAGCUCUUGACCUAUGAGUUUGAGUUAGAGUUGGGGCGAAGAGCGGGGUAGCUCUUUACCGUAGCAUUAGAGUUGUGAGACGGGUGAGACAAGGGCGGGGUAGUCCUUCACCUAUGUGGUUGAGAUCUUAGGCGGGGUAGCCUAGUAGAUUGGGUAAUGACAUGAAUAGCAUAAGUGGAUUUGCAUUC